rnacentral:rRNA from 2 species
UGUGACCUCAAAUCAGGUAGGACUACCCGCUGAACUUAAGCAUAUCAAUAAGCGGAGGAAAAGAAACUAACAAGGAUUCCCCUAGUAACUGCGAGUGAAGCGGGAAAAGCUCAAAUUUAAAAUCUGGCGGUCUUUUGGCUGUCCGAGUUGUAAUCUAGAGAAGUGUUAUCCGCGCUGGACCGUGUACAAGUCUCCUGGAAUGGAGCAUCAUAGAGGGUGAGAAUCCCGUCUUUGACAUGGACUGCCAGGGCUUUGUGAUGCGCUCUCAAAGAGUCGAGUUGUUUGGGAAUGCAGCUCAAAAUGGGUGGUAAAUUCCAUCUAAAGCUAAAUAUUGGCGAGAGACCGAUAGCGAACAAGUACCGUGAGGGAAAGAUGAAAAGAACUUUGGAAAGAGAGUUAAACAGUACGUGAAAUUGCUGAAAGGGAAACGCUUGAAGUCAGUCGCGUCAUCCAGGGAUCAACCUUGCUUUUGCUUGGUGCACUUCCUGGUUUGAUGGGUCAGCAUCAAUUUUGACUAUUGGAAAAAGGCUGAGGGAAUGUGGCAUCUUCGGAUGUGUUAUAGCCCUUGGUCGCAUACAAUGGUUGGGAUUGAGGAACUCAGCACGCCGCAAGGCCGGG